rnacentral:misc_RNA from 1 species
GUUCAUUGAAGCUCUCAGCAGAAAAAAAAUGGCUGCAACUGGUAGUGGAUUCUUGCUAGUUAACAAGCACGUCCAAGUCCAGGCCUUUCAAAAGAAAAAAAUCAACCAAAUGAAAAAAUUCGUCAAUGAUGAGAUGCUUAUGGCUUCACCAUCUUCUAGAAAGAAGAUUAUUUCCCAAGAAUAUGGUGUUUGGAAGAAGCAUUUUGCUUGUGUCAGUGCGACCACUACUGCGAAAACGCAGAAAUUUAAUUCUUGGAAAUCAAACAGUACUGUUGCCAGUGGUGGAAGUGGAAGAUUGGUGCAAGAUGGCCUCGUUUACAGGCAAAGCUUUUUGGUUAGAUCAUUUGAAAUAGGCUUUGACAGAAAACUAUCCUUGUCUGCCUUGACCAAUUAUUUACAGGACACUGCAAUUGACCAGUGUAGAGUUAUCGGGGCAUCGGCAGAUGGUUUUGGUUCAACACCAGAAAUGAUUAGACAGGAUUUGAUAUGGGUAGCCUCCACUUUGCAGAUAGUAGUGGAUAGCUAUCCUUCCUGGCUUGAUGUUGUUCAAGUAGACACUUGGUUUUAUCCAUCAGGACAAAAUAGUUUAAGCCGUGACUGGAUUGUUCGUGAUGGUAAGACAGGAAAUACUUUGGCUCACGCAACCAGUCUAUGGGUGUUGAUGAAUAAGAAAACAAGGAAAUUAUCCAAGCUUAAAAAGGAAAUCAAAGAAGAGUUAGCUCCUCAUUUUAGGAAUUGUGAUCCUAUCAUUACUAAGGAUAGCAGAAAAUUGCUGCAACUCGAUGUUAGUACAGCAGAUUAUGCUCGUACAGGUUUAACAGUAAGUCAACUAUAUUAACUUUCUCCAUGGUUAAAUAAUUGCUUUUGCAGUGUUUUUCAUGCUUGCUUCCAUCAAUUAAUCGACUCUAUUGCCUCAACUACAGCCUGGUUGGGAUCAGCUUGAUCUCAAUCAGCACGUGAACCAUGUUCAAUACAUUAACUGGAUUCUUGAGAAUGUUCCCCGCUCUUUCGUAGAACAUCACAAGCUUUCUGCCAUAACUUUGGAGUACCGGAGAGAGUGCACCACAGACAGCGUACUGCAGUCUCUAGCUAAAAUUGUUAAAAACGGCAUCUGUCAUAAUAAUAGUAAUAAUGUGAUAGAGUUGGAGCAUUUGCUUCUCUUGGAGAAUGGCUCCGAAAUUGCUAAGGGAAGGACCAUUUGGAAGCCAAGAGAGAUUCCAGUAGAAAAUGCUAGCCAGCAUAAGUAAUACUGUCAAAGGAAAACGACAAGAAAGAAUUAACAGUGAAGAAGAUCAUCUGGGGUGAUUUUUCAUUUAUUUGCGUAUUAAAUGAAAAAAAAAAAAAUUGCAUUCGCUUGCUUGUAUGCAUGGUUGUAUUUGUAUGGGAUUUUCAUUCUACUAGGAAUUUAUUUCCUUUUAUUUAAUUAAGAAAGGGCAUUUGUUUUAUGCUUUGAGGAACUAUAAAUCAGAUGUUGUAAAACGCCAAUUUCUUAUCCUUUCUUCACAUCCUCUGUUAAAGCAUGCGUUGAAUUUAU